rnacentral:rRNA from 1 species
UUGGAGGGCAAGUCUGGUGCCAGCAGCCGCGGUAAUUCCAGCUCCAAUAGCGUAUAUUAAAGUUGUUGCAGUUAAAAAGCUCGUAGUUGAAUUUUGGAUUCUGCCAGUUGGUCCAUCUUUUGAUGAGUACUGAUUGUGUGGGGUCUAUCCGCCUGGUGAUACGUAAUGUACUUUAUUGUAUGUUACGGGUAGUCAGGACCUUUACCUUGAAAAAAUUAGAGUGUUUAAAGCAGGCUUAUGCCGGAAUACAUUAGCAUGGAAUAAUAGAAUAGGACGAUGUUGUUUUAUUUUGUUGGUUUCUAGGACAACCGUAAUGAUUAAUAGGGAUAGUUGGGGGCAUUAGUAUUCAAUUGUCAGAGGUGAAAUUCUUGGAUUUAUUGAAGACUAACUACUGCGAAAGCAUUUGCCAAGGAUGUUUUCAUUAAUCAAGAACGAAAGUUAGGGGAUCGAAGACGAUCAGAUACCGUCGUAGUCUUAACCAUAAACUAUGCCGACUAGGGAUCGGGCGAUGUUGUUUCCAUGACUCGCUCGGCGCCUUACGGGAAAC